rnacentral:rRNA from 1 species
UUUAUGGAGAGUUUGAUCCUGGCUCAGGAUGAACGCUGGCGGCGUGCCUAAUACAUGCAAGUCGAGCGAACGGACGAGAAGCUUGCUUCUCAGAUGUUAGCGGCGGACGGGUGAGUAACACGUGGAUAACCUACCUAUAAGACUGGGAUAACUUCGGGAAACCGGAGCUAAUACCGGAUAAUAUUUUGAACCGCAUGGUUCAAAAGUGAAAGACGGUCUUGCUGUCACUUAUAGAUGGAUCCGCGCUGCAUUAGCUAGUUGGUAAGGUAACGGCUUACCAAGGCAACGAUGCAUAGCCGACCUGAGAGGGUGAUCGGCCACACUGGAACUGAGACACGGUCCAGACUCCUACGGGAGGCAGCAGUAGGGAAUCUUCCGCAAUGGGCGAAAGCCUGACGGAGCAACGCCGCGUGAGUGAUGAAGGUCUUCGGAUCGUAAAACUCUGUUAUUAGGGAAGAACAUAUGUGUAAGUAACUGUGCACAUCUUGACGGUACCUAAUCAGAAAGCCACGGCUAACUACGUGCCAGCAGCCGCGGUAAUACGUAGGUGGCAAGCGUUAUCCGGAAUUAUUGGGCGUAAAGCGCGCGUAGGCGGUUUUUUAAGUCUGAUGUGAAAGCCCACGGCUCAACCGUGGAGGGUCAUUGGAAACUGGAAAACUUGAGUGCAGAAGAGGAAAGUGGAAUUCCAUGUGUAGCGGUGAAAUGCGCAGAGAUAUGGAGGAACACCAGUGGCGAAGGCGACUUUCUGGUCUGUAACUGACGCUGAUGUGCGAAAGCGUGGGGAUCAAACAGGAUUAGAUACCCUGGUAGUCCACGCCGUAAACGAUGAGUGCUAAGUGUUAGGGGGUUUCCGCCCCUUAGUGCUGCAGCUAACGCAUUAAGCACUCCGCCUGGGGAGUACGACCGCAAGGUUGAAACUCAAAGGAAUUGACGGGGACCCGCACAAGCGGUGGAGCAUGUGGUUUAAUUCGAAGCAACGCGAAGAACCUUACCAAAUCUUGACAUCCUUUGACAACUCUAGAGAUAGAGCCUUCCCCUUCGGGGGACAAAGUGACAGGUGGUGCAUGGUUGUCGUCAGCUCGUGUCGUGAGAUGUUGGGUUAAGUCCCGCAACGAGCGCAACCCUUAAGCUUAGUUGCCAUCAUUAAGUUGGGCACUCUAAGUUGACUGCCGGUGACAAACCGGAGGAAGGUGGGGAUGACGUCAA